AGCUUGCUCCUUUGACGUUAGCGGCGGACGGGUGAGUAACACGUGGGUAACCUACCUAUAAGACUGGGAUAACUUCGGGAAACCGGAGCUAAUACCGGAUAACAUUUGGAACCGCAUGGUUCUAAAGUGAAAGAUGGUUUUGCUAUCACUUAUAGAUGGACCCGCGCCGUAUUAGCUAGUUGGUAAGGUAACGGCUUACCAAGGCGACGAUACGUAGCCGACCUGAGAGGGUGAUCGGCCACACUGGAACUGAGACACGGUCCAGACUCCUACGGGAGGCAGCAGUAGGGAAUCUUCCGCAAUGGGCGAAAGCCUGACGGAGCAACGCCGCGUGAGUGAUGAAGGGUUUCGGCUCGUAAAACUCUGUUAUUAGGGAAGAACAAACGUGUAAGUAACUGUGCACGUCUUGACGGUACCUAAUCAGAAAGCCACGGCUAACUACGUGCCAGCAGCCGCGGUAAUACGUAGGUGGCAAGCGUUAUCCGGAAUUAUUGGGCGUAAAGCGCGCGUAGGCGGUUUCUUAAGUCUGAUGUGAAAGCCCACGGCUCAACCGUGGAGGGUCAUUGGAAACUGGGAAACUUGAGUGCAGAAGAGGAAAGUGGAAUUCCAUGUGUAGCGGUGAAAUGCGCAGAGAUAUGGAGGAACACCAGUGGCGAAGGCGACUUUCUGGUCUGUAACUGACGCUGAUGUGCGAAAGCGUGGGGAUCAAACAGGAUUAGAUACCCUGGUAGUCCACGCCGUAAACGAUGAGUGCUAAGUGUU
rnacentral:rRNA from 1 species